UACGUAGGGUGCAAGCGUUGUCCGGAAUUAUUGGGCGUAAAGAGCUCGUAGGCGGUCUGUCACGUCGGCUGUGAAAACCCGAGGCUCAACCUCGGGCCUGCAGUCGAUACGGGCAGACUAGAGUUCGGUAGGGGAGACUGGAAUUCCUGGUGUAGCGGUGAAAUGCGUAGAGAUCAUGAGGAAGACCAGUGGCGAAGGCGGGUCUCUGGACAGGUUCCUGACACUGAGGCACGAAGGCCAGGGGAGCAAACGG
rnacentral:rRNA from 1 species